AGCGAACGCUGGCGGCAGGCUUAACACAUGCAAGUCGAGCGGGCAUCCUUGUGGUGUCAGCGGCAGACGGGUGAGUAACGCGUGGGAACGUGCCCUUCGGUUCGGAAUAAUUCAGGGAAACUUGAGCUAAUACCGGAUACGUGCGAGAGCAGAAAGGUUUAUCUGCCGAAGGAUCGGCCCGCGUCUGAUUAGCUAGUUGGUGAGGUUAUGGCUCACCAAGGCGACGAUCAGUAGCUGGUCUGAGAGGAUGAUCAGCCACACUGGGACUGAGACACGGCCCAGACUCCUACGGGAGGCAGCAGUGGGGAAUAUUGGACAAUGGGGGCAACCCUGAUCCAGCCAUGCCGCGUGAGUGAUGACGGCCUUAGGGUUGUAAAGCUCUUUUCUUCGGGACGAUAAUGACGGUACCGGAGGAAUAAGCCCCGGCUAACUUCGUG
rnacentral:rRNA from 1 species